AUUGAACGCUGGCGGCAUGCUUUACACAUGCAAGUCGAACGGCAGCACAGUGAAUCUUGCUUCUUGGGUGGCGAGUGGCGUACGUGUGAGUAAUAUAUCGGAACGUACCGAGUAGUGGAGGAUAACUAAUCGAAAGAUUAUCUAAUACCGCAUAUUCUCUGAGGAGGAAAGCAGGGGAGCUUCGGUCCUUGCGUUAUUCGAGCCGCCGAUAUAUGAUUAGCUAGUUGGUGGGGUAAAGGCCUACCAGGGCGACGAUCAGUAGCGGGUCUGGGAGGAUGAUCCCGCACACUGGGACUGAGACACGGCCCAGACUCCUACGGGAGGCAGCAGUGGGGAAUGUUGGACAAUGGGGGGAAGCCUGAUCCAGCCAUGCAGCGUGUCUGAAGAAGGCCUUCGGGUUGGAAAGGACUUUUGGCAGGGAAGAACAGGCUGUUGCUAAUACCGACAGCUGAUGACGGUACCUGAAGAAGAAGCACCGGCUAACUACGUG
rnacentral:rRNA from 1 species